rnacentral:misc_RNA from 1 species
GAUGAAGAACGCAGCGAAAUGCGAUACGUAAUGUGAAUUGCAGAAUUCAGUGAAUCAUCGAGUCUUUGAACGCACAUUGCGCCCCCUGGUAUUCCGGGGGGCAUGCCUGUCCGAGCGUCAUUGCUGCCCUCAAGCCCGGCUUGUGUGUUGGGUCUCGUCCCCCUUCCCGGGGGACGGGCCCGAAAGGCAGCGGCGGCACCGUGUCCGGUCCUCGAGCGUAUGGGGCUUUGUCACCCGCUCUGUAGGCCCGGCCGGCGCUUGCCGAUCAACCAAAACUUUUUUCCAGGUUGACCUCGGAUCAGGUAGGGAUACCCGCUGAACUUAAGCAUAUCAAUAAGCGGAGGA